GACCGCGUAGCUCAGUUGGCAGAGCAUUGUACUAGUAUCCCAAAGGUCGCGGGUUCGAUUCCCACCGUGGCCA